GAAUGAACGUGCAGCAGCAGCCAGCCGGGUGGGCCUCCCAGGCCCCUCGGGGGGCUUCCUGAAGCUGGCGGUGGGGCAGGGGGUGGGGGGCACUCCGAUGGGCAGGGGGGAAAAGAGUGUCUGAGCUCCCGGCCGCACAUCAGGGCACCCAUGUUUCAGGCAACUGGACAGGGAGGGUCGGCGUGCGGCCUGAGGCCUCUGCCAGCCUUCAGCGCGGAGCCGCCGAGGAUCCUGACGAGGUUGCAGGGAGUGAGUGACUCCGCUGCCCUCUAGGUGAUUGUUACUGAAGGAUUUAAAAGUUCCCCGGACUUGCAGGUGGAUACUUCAAACUGAUCUGCUUGUGGCCACAGCCCAGGUCUUUUACAUCCUGUGCCUCCCCCCACCCCCAAGAGAAGGACAGCACUGUCGCCUCCCUUCAGUGCGAGGACCAUCAGCACAUAGGAGGCCCUGACGUGCAGCCGGCAGACCAGCGUCACUUCGUCAGGAGCAUCUCGUCCCCGUUGUCCUCUGAGUGACUGUGUUUUCAAAGUCAGUUUGGGGUCCUCACUGUCACAGGCUAAGGGCCAUUUAGACAUUUUCUCAGGCCGCAGGAAGCAAGCAAGGAGGCUGUGGCUUUCCCGGAGCCCAGUCCAGUGCCGCGCAUGGGGAUUCCGCCUUCGGUCAGAUGCGCCCCCAGGCCCAGUCCCGGCGGUUUCACGGGCAGCUUGGUCUGAGGACCUGGGAGGAGGAGGAGUCGUUUUGUAAAUGUUCCGCGGCCGCAAAAAUUCUUGUCCUGGGGCCUGAUAAUGAAAGCUGUGAGCUGGGAAAAUCAGCGUUUGAUUUUUAUACCAGCUCGGCACAAAGAAGCCGACCCAGAGAUGCCAGCGUUCCGUGCCCCGUUAGCCCUGGCGCCGUGCGCCGUGCCUGGCCCCCAGUCCUCGGCACGGGCGUACAGCGCGCCAUCCUGACCUUCCCGAACCAUCCAGUUCAGGGGCGUCGGAAGCUCACGCUGUUGUGAAUCGCCAGCGACAUCUCCGGAACUUUCUCACCUUCCCGCACAGCAGCGCUGCCCCCUGAGCGGCACCUCCCCACCCCAUGCUCCCCUGCCCGUGGGACCACCCCCUGCUCGCCCCGGGGAGUCGGACUCUUUUAGGUCCGUCCUACGAGUGGAAUCCCCCAGCACGUGUCCCUUUCCGUCCGGCUCAGUGCCCUCAGCAUCACGUCCUCGAGGUCCGGCCAGGGUGUGGCCUGUGGAGGGAGUUCCCUCUCCUCUGUGAACACGAGUCCGCUGGAACCCCUGCUUCCCAUUCGUCUGCACACAGACCCAGAGGGGGCUUUCUGCAGCAGGUGGUAACGCGGUGAUUACACGUCUGAGACGCCUCCGUACGUUUCCACGGGGCUGCCCCACGUCGCACCGCAGGGGCGGCGCGCAGGCGCUCCCCUCUCUGCACAGCCUCCCCAACCCUUGCUGUUCUCUGUGUGUCUUCUGUCAUAGUUGCCGUCGUGGUGAGAGUGUAGUUUUAUCCCGUGGUUCUGAUUUGCUUUUACCGAAUGGCCAGUGAGGCCGAGCGUCUUGUAUGCGUUGGCCACGUGUGUACCUUCUUUGGAGCAGCGUCUGUUGCCCAUGUUUGAAUCAGGUUGGGUUUGUC
rnacentral:lncRNA from 1 species